GAUGGACGGUUAACGGAGCGUAAGCGACGUUCAACAUCAAAAAUCAGGCAGUGGAGCGUUUUGGGGUGGGGUGACUGCGUACCUUUUGUAUAAUGGGUCAGCGACUUAUAUUCUGUAGCAAGGUUAACCGUAUAGGGGAGCCGCAGGGAAACCGAGUCUUAACUGGGCGUUAAGUUGCAGGGUAUAGACCCGAAA
rnacentral:rRNA from 1 species